rnacentral:rRNA from 1 species
UACGGAGGGAGCUAGCGUUAUUCGGAAUUACUGGGCGUAAAGCGCGCGUAGGCGGCUUUGUAAGUUAGAGGUGAAAGCCUGGAGCUCAACUCCAGAACUGCCUUUAAAACUGCAUCGCUUGAAUCCAGGAGAGGUGAGUGGAAUUCCGAGUGUAGAGGUGAAAUUCGUAGAUAUUCGGAAGAACACCAGUGGCGAAGGCGGCUCACUGGACUGGUAUUGACGCUGAGGUGCGAAAGCGUGGGGAGCAAACAGG